GACGAACGCUGGCGGCGUGCUUAACACAUGCAAGUCGAACGGAAAGGCCCUGCUUUUGUGGGGUGCUCGAGUGGCGAACGGGUGAGUAACACGUGGUUAACCUGCCCUUGACUUGGGGAUAACUUCAGGAAACUGGGGCUAAUACCGGAUAGAGCCUCCGGCGGCAUGGGGGGGGUUGGAAGGUUUCGGCGGUUGGGGAUGGACUCGCGGCUUAUCAGCUUGUUGGUGGGGUAGUGGCUUACCAAGGCUUUGACGGGUAGCCGGCCUGAGAGGGUGACCGGCCACAUUGGGACUGAGAUACGGCCCAGACUCCUACGGGAGGCAGCAGUGGGGAAUAUUGCACAAUGGGCGGAAGCCUGAUGCAGCAACGCCGCGUGCGGGAUGACGGCCUUCGGGUUGUAAACCGCUUUCGCCUGUGACGAAGCGUGAGUGACGGUAAUGGGUAAAGAAGCACCGGCUAACUACGUG
rnacentral:rRNA from 1 species